GAAGCAAUGUCUGGCCUUUCC
rnacentral:misc_RNA from 1 species